GCUUCCAUAACUCAAUCGGAUAGAGUAACAGAUUUCUAAUCUGUAAGUUGCAGGUUCGAUUCCUGCUGGAAGCG
rnacentral:tRNA from 1 species